rnacentral:rRNA from 1 species
UAAGUUGGGAGGAAGGGCAGUUACCUAAUACGUGAUUGUUUUGACGUUCCCGACAGAAUAAGCACCGGCUAACUCUGUGCCAGCAGCCGCGGUAAUACAGAGGGUGCAAGCGUUAAUCGGAAUUACUGGGCGUAAAGCGCGCGUAGGUGGUUAGUUAAGUUGGAUGUGAAAUCCCCGGGCUCAACCUGGGAACUGCAUUCAAAACUGACUGACUAGAGUAUGGUAGAGGGUGGUGGAAUUUCCUGUGUAGCGGUGAAAUGCGUAGAUAUAGGAAGGAACACCAGUGGCGAAGGCGACCACCUGGA